CCUACGGGGGACAGCAGUAGGGAAUCUUCCACAAUGGGCGAAAGCCUGAUGCAGCAACGCCGCGUGGGUGAAGAAGGUCUUCGGAUUGUAAAACCCUGUUGUUAGAGAAGAAAGUGCGGGAGAGUAACUGUUCACGUUUCGACGGUAUCUAACCAGAAAGCCACGGCUAACUACGUGCCAGCAGCCGCGGUAAUACGUCGGGGGCAAGCGUUAUCCGGAUUUAUUGGGCGUAAAGGGAACGCAGGCGGUCUUUUAAGUCUGAUGUGAAAGCCUUCGGCUUAACCGGCGUAGUGCAUUGGAAACUGGCAGACUUGAGUGCAGAAGAGGUGAGUGGAACGCCAUGUGUAGCGGUGAAAUGCGUAGAUAUAUGGAAGAACACCAGUGGCGAAGGCGGCUCUCUGGUCUGUAACUGACGCUGAGGUUCGAAAGCGUGGGUAGCAAACAGGAUUAGAUACCCCAGUAGUC
rnacentral:rRNA from 1 species